rnacentral:rRNA from 1 species
AACGAACGCUGGCGGCAGGCUUAACACAUGCAAGUCGAGCGCCCCGCAAGGGGAGCGGCAGACGGGUGAGUAACGCGUGGGAAUCUACCCAUCUCUACGGAAUAACGCAUGGAAACGUGUGCUAAUACCGUAUACGUCCUUCGGGAGAAAGAUUUAUCGGAGAUGGAUGAGCCCGCGUUGGAUUAGCUAGUUGGUGUGGUAAAGGCCUACCAAGGCGACGAUCCAUAGCUGGUCUGAGAGGAUGAUCAGCCACACUGGGACUGAGACACGGCCAAGACUCCUACGGGAGGCAGCAGUGGGGAAUAUCGGACAAUGGGCGCAAGCCUGGUCCAGCCAUGCCGCGUGAGUGAUGAAGGCCCUAGGGUUGUAAAGCUCUUUCACCGGUGAAGAUAAUGACGGUAACCGGAGAAGAAGCCCCGGCUAACUUCGUGCCAGCCGCCGCCGUAACAC